UAGCUCAGAUGGUAAAGCAUCUGCCUGCAAUGCAGGAGACCCAGGUUUGAUCCCUGG
rfam:TPA: Bos taurus chromosome 22, whole genome shotgun sequence.